UACGUAGGGAGCAAGCGUUGUCCGGAAUCAUUGGGCGUAAAGCGCGCGUAGGUGGCUUCGUAAGUCCGUUGUGAAAGUCAAAGGCUCAACCUUUGAAUGCCGAUGGAUACUGCGGAGCUAGAGUACGGAAGAGGCGAGUGGAAUUCCUGGUGUAGCGGUGGAAUGCGCAGAUAUCAGGAGGAACACCAAUAGCGAAGGCGGGUCUCUGGGCCUGUACUGACGCUGAGGAGCGAAAGCGUGGGGAGCGAACAGG
rnacentral:rRNA from 1 species